GCCGUGGGCGGCAGCGGCUGGUCGGCGGCGGCUCUGGUGGUGCGGGGGCGACGAGCCUGGGGACCUGGGCACCGAAAGCUGUGCACCUGCGGGCUGAAGGAAGGACAGCUCUCUGCGGGUCUCUGCUCCAGACCCUCCCCCGCCCCACCCCGCUCUCCGUCCUCGUUCGGAGGGUCGGAGCUUGCAGAGCGCGCAGUCGCCGCCACCGGACCCCCCCAGCCGUCCAGGGGCUCCCUCCUCCCGGGAUCCGGGACCCCGGCUCCCUGCCCGCCCCGGCCCCGGCACCAUGUCGGAGAAGAGCGUGGAGACAGCGCCCGAGCUCAGCGCCAAGGACCUGAAGGAGAAGAAAGAAAAAGUAGAGGAGAAGACUAGUCGGAAAGAGAGGAAGAAAGACGUGGUAGAGGUACAGAGGGGAAGAGAGGGUGGUAAGCCAUGGUGAGACCCUAACAUCCCUGGGGGUCUGUUGCCUGAGAUCCCUCCCUCUCCCCCCGGGACUAAUCUAUUGGGUACAUGCCCAAACCAACAUGAUCAUGUUUUCUGGUACUCAUAGGAGGAGGAAAAUGGAGCAGAAGAGGAGGAGGAGGAGACUGCAGAGGAUGGAGAAGAUGAUGAUGAGGGUGAGGAGGAAGAUGAGGAAGAGGAGGAAGAUGAUGAUGAAGGGCCUGCACUGAAGAGAGCUGCUGAGGAUGAGGAUGAAGCCGAUCCCAAAAGGCAGAAGACAGAAAAUGGGGCAUCGGUGUGAGCCUCAGCCGUCUGGGCUGAGGGUGGGGAGGACCCCACGGGGCUUGGAAGUGAGAUGGGGAGGGAUAAGUGCAGCGGCCUUUUGCCUGGCUCCCUGUUCUGGAUUCCUCCCCAGAGCUGUCCCCCUCCUAUUCUCCCCAGCCUUCUUACUGUUCCCUCUCCAGAUAUCCCAAUUUUUACCUCUCCAUUCCUUCACCUCCUGAACUUUCCUUAUCCCUGAGCUCCCCAGCUGCUCCCCAGACUACUCUUCUUUUCCAUAUCCUCAUAUCUCCUCUCAUCCCCCAGUUGAUUCUUCAAAAUCCAAUUCUACCCCUUUCCAUAUUCCUAGAUUUCCCCUUCUGCCUUCUCUCCCACUCUCCCUGCCUGAUCCCUGGAUCUCCCUCAGAUUCCCCACCCCCUGACAGCACCAGGCUGGGGUUGGGGCUGAGCCCCACAGCUGCCCCCUCUCCCCUUUAUCCUUUUUGUAUAAUUUAAUAAAGAAAUGGUCGCGCUUCUGUUUUUAA